rnacentral:rRNA from 1 species
UACGGAGGAUGCAAGCGUUAUCCGGAAUGAUUGGGCGUAAAGCGUCCGCAGGUGGCAAUGUAAGUCUGCUGUCAAAGCGUCUGGCUCAACCAGAUAAAGGCAGUGGAAACUACAUAGCUAGAGUAAGGUAGGGGUAGAGGGAAUUCCUGGUGUAGCGGUGAAAUGCGUAGAUAUUGGGAAGAACACCGGUGGCGAAAGCGCUCUGCUGGACCUGCACUGACACUGAGGGACGAAAGCUAGGGGAGCGAAAGGG